rnacentral:rRNA from 1 species
UACGGGGGGAGCAAGCGUUGUUCGGAUUUACUGGGCGUAAAGGGCGCGUAGGCGGCCACCGCAAGUCGAUUGUGAAAUCUCCGGGCUUAACCCGGAAAGGUCAACCGAUACUGCGGGGCUAGAGUGCAGAAGGGGCAACUGGAAUUCUCGGUGUAGCGGUGAAAUGCGUAGAUAUUGGGAGGAACACCAGUGGCGAAGGCGGCUCACUGGACCGGAACUGACGCUGAGGCGCGAAAAGCGUGGGGAGCAAACGGGG